rnacentral:rRNA from 1 species
CGGAGGGUGCAAGCGUUAUCCGGAUUUACUGGGUUUAAAGGGUGUGUAGGCGGACUAUUAAGUCAGGGGUGAAAUCCCGGGGCUCAACCUCGGAACUGCCUUUGAUACUAUUAGUCUUGAAUGUUGUUGAGGUGGGCGGAACGGGUCAUGUAGCGGUGAAAUGCAUAGAUAUGACCCGGAACACCGAUUGCGAAGGCAGCCCGCUAAGCAACUAUUGACGCUGAGGCACGAAAGCGUGGGGAUCAAACAGGAUUAGAUACCCUGGUAGUCCACGCCCUAAACGAUGGUUACUCGACGUUGGCGAUACACUGAUCAGCGUCCAAGCGAAAGCAUUAAGUAAUCCACCUGGGAAGUACGUUCGCAAGAAUG